GGCGAACGCUGGCGGCGUGCUUAACACAUGCAAGUCGAGCGGAAAGGCCCUUUCGGGGGUACUCGAGCGGCGAACGGGUGAGUAACACGUGAGUAAUCUGCCCUGGACUCUGGGAUAGCCACCGGAAACGGUGAUUAAUACCGGAUAUGACACCUUGCUGCAUGGUGGGGUGUGGAAAGUUUUUUCGGUCCAGGAUGUGCUCGCGGCCUAUCAGCUUGUUGGUGAGGUAAUGGCUCACCAAGGCUUUGACGGGUAGCCGGCCUGAGAGGGUGACCGGUCACACUGGGACUGAGACACGGCCCAGGCUCCUACGGGAGGCAGCAGUGGGGAAUAUUGGACAAUGGGCGGAAGCCUGAUCCAGCAACGCCGCGUGAGGGAUGACGGCCUUCGGGUUGUAAACCUCUUUCAGUACCGACGAAGCGUGAGUGACGGUAGGUACAGAAGAAGGACCGGCCAACUACGUGCCAGCCGCCGCCGUAAAAC
rnacentral:rRNA from 1 species